UACGUAGGGUGCGAGCGUUAAUCGGAAUUACUGGGCGUAAAGCGUGCGCAGGCGGUUGUGUAAGACAGGUGUGAAAUCCCGGCGUAACUGGACGGCGCUUGUGACUGCACGGCUAGAGUACGGCAGAGGGGGGUGGAAUUCCACGUGUAGCAGUGAAAUGCGUAGAUAUGUGGAGGAACACCGAUGGCGAAGGCAGCCCCCUGGGCCAGUACUGACGCUCAUGCACGAAAGCGUGGGGAGCAAACAGGAUUAGAAACCCCGGUAGU
rnacentral:rRNA from 1 species